rnacentral:rRNA from 1 species
AUUGAACGCUGGCGGCAUGCCUUACACAUGCAAGUCGAACGGCAGCACGGGUGCUUGCACCUGGUGGCGAGUGGCGAACGGGUGAGUAAUAUAUCGGAACGUACCUUAUUGUGGGGGAUAACGCAGCGAAAGCUGUGCUAAUACCGCAUAAUCCCUAAGGGGGAAAGCGGGGGACCGUAAGGCCUCGCGCAAUUAGAGCGGCCGAUACCUGAUUAGCUAGUUGGUGAGGUAAAGGCUCACUAAGGCAACGAUCAGUAGCUGGUCUGAGAGGACGAUCCGCCACACUAGGACUGAGACACGGCCCAGACUCCUACGGGAGGCAGCAGUGGGGAAUUUUGGACAAUGGGGGCAACCCUGAUCCAGCAAUGCCGCGUGAGUGAAGAAGGCCUUCGGGUUGUAAAGCUCUUCUGUCAGGGAAGAAACAGCAGCUCUAACACAGUUUGCGAAUGACGGUACCUGAAGAAUAAGCACCGGCUAACUACGUGCCAGCCGCCGCCGUAA